GACGAACGCUGGCGGCGUGCUUAACACAUGCAAGUCGAACGGUGAAGCGCCUUCCUUUUUGGUGGGUGUGGAUGAGUGGCGAACGGGUGAGUAACACGUGAGUAACCUGCCCCCUUCUUCUGGAUAACCGCAUGAAAGUGUGGCUAAUACGGGAUAUUCUGGGUCUGUCGCAUGAUGGGUCUGGGAAAGAUAUUGCUUCGGUGGGGGAUGGGCUCGCGGCCUAUCAUCUUGUUGGUGGGGUGAUGGCCUACCAAGGCGGUGUCGGGUAGCCGGCCUGAGAGGGUGGACGGUCACACUGGGACUGAGACACGGCCCAGACUCCUACGGGAGGCAGCGGUGGGGAAUAUUGCACAAUGGGCGCAAGCCUGAUGCAGCGACGCCGCGUGAGAGAUGGAGGCCUGCGGGUUGUGAACCUCUUUCGCCAGUGAAGCAGGCCUGCCUCGUUUGUGGGUGGGUUGACGGUAGCUGGAGAAGAAGCGCCGGCUAACUACGUG
rnacentral:rRNA from 1 species